UAGGUUAAGAAAUGAAAGGGGGGAGAAUAAGGGUUUCAAGGGUCAGAGAGCUAGCUUCAUGCUUCGGGAGAGGAAAAAAGACAGAGAAUUGGGGUUUUUUUUUCUUCAUAGGGUUUUGGGAAGACUGAGGCAAUCGUUGCUGAAGUCAGUGUUGUAUUGGUAAAUCACGGUUUUAAUGAAGUGGGUGUGGUUACUCUUGACUGUUUUGUGAAAUCAAAGUUACGUCUAUGAUUGAAGAAUUAAAAAGGUGUCUAUAGGAUUGAGUAUGCGGAGUGAAUGAAAAUUUUUGGGUUAAUCUAAUAAGACAGUCAGUGGAU
rnacentral:lncRNA from 1 species